UUGCUUUAUCUGCUUUUAUUUUCUCUGCUUUUGCUUUCUCUGCUGCAUGGUCCACGAGUCCCUUCCAAGGCUCGUAAUAUUCACCCACACUACAAUUUGUGCUUCUUUAAUAGCCUUAAAUUGUUGGUGGACAAGAUGAAAAGUUGGUGCCGAGAAAAUAAUCAAUAUUUGGAAAGUGGAGACGUUUGGUGCAGACAAAAUGAAGGGGCAUCUUCAAGUGCACUUGCCUUUAUUGCACCUGAUGGAGGUGGAGACGUUGGGCACAACGGGACCACCAAAGACGACGAGGUUGUGGCUUUUGAUCAGGAACAGCAUCUCUUCAGCACCAUCAUCUCUCCACCACCGGGGCCCCGGUCGAGGGCGUGCUCAGUGCACACAGCAGUACCAAAUUUGAAGCUAGAUCAAACCAAAACCAAAUUUGAAGCUAGAUCAACGAGAACAAAGUUCACUACUGGAAUUUGACUCACAUGACGGAACG
rnacentral:lncRNA from 1 species